UCGGGAGAAAUGAACGGUCAUCAACACAAUCCUCUGAGCGCUCAUCAUGUGAUCUUUCUAAAUGUCCACGGAAACAGUUGACUGAAGUUUGACAGCUCUUCUGCCAGUUUUAAUUUGGAAAAACGUACCCAGAGGAAGCAGUGCUGGAUACUUGCCUGGAUUACUGAGUCUUUUUCUGUGGCAAUAGAAUAGAUCUAUUGCACAUGACCACAUUUGAAGUUAAAUUAAGGAAUAAACUAAUGCAUUCAACCUAGUUUAUGGUAAUGAGUGUGAAUAAGAGUAUUCAAGAGUAUUUCUGAGGCCUCAAAACAGCUGAUCAUGCUGGAACUCACAGUGCCCUGGGAAGAGUGGAUUGAGGAGGC
ensembl:lncRNA